ACAGCAGGUCGUUCUAUCGCUCGCAAUUUUAUUGCGUGAGGAAAGUCCGGGCAACGCAGAGCACCGUGUUUCUUAACCGGAAGGUAUUCGCGAGGGUACAGUAUUGCAGAAGAAAAUAACCGCCCCGAAACUUGUUUUCGGGGUAAGGGUGAGAAGGCGGGGUAAGAGCCCACCGACGAGCCGGGCAACCGGUUCGGUCGUGCAACUCACGGGUUGAAAGACCAUGUAUAUCGGAUACGUAGGGCUGCUCGCCCGAUGCCGAGGGGUAGGUCGAUAGAACCAAUUGGCAACAAUUGGUCCAGAUAAAUGAUAGAAGUUUUGCUUAGGCAAAAUACAGAACCCGGCUUACAGACUUGCUGUUGUU
rnacentral:RNase_P_RNA from 1 species